AUUGAACGCUGGCGGCAGGCUUAACACAUGCAAGUCGAGCGAGCGGCGGACGGGUGAGUAAUGUCUGGGAAACUUCCUGAUGGCGGGGGAUAACUACUGGAAACGGUAGCUAAUACCGCAUACCAUCAGAUGUGCCCAGAUGGGAUUAGCUAGUAGGUGGGGUAAUGGCUCACCUCGGCGACGAUCCCUAGCUGGUCUGAGAGGAUGACCAGCCACUCUGGAACUGAGACAGGCUCCAGACUCACACGAGAGGCAGCAGUGGGGAAUAUUGCACAAUGGGCGCAAGCCUGAGGCAGCCAUGCCGUGUGUGUGAAGAAGGCCUUUGGGUUGUAAAGCACUUUCAGCGAGGAGGCGUUACUCGCAGAAGAAGCACCGGCUAACUCCGUGACAGCAGCCGCGGUAAU
rnacentral:rRNA from 1 species